CGCAGCCGCGGUAAUUCCAGCUCCAAUAGCGUAUAUUAAAGUUGUUGCAGUUAAAAAGCUCGUAGUUGAAUUUCGGGGUUAGUAGGUUGGUCGUGCCUCAGGUAUGUACUGAUCUCACUGAUUCCUCCUUCCUGAUGAACCGUAAUGCCAUUAAUUUGGUGUUGCGGGGAAACUGGACUGUUACUUUGAAAAAAUUAGAGUGUUUAAAGCAGGCUAACGCUUGAAUACAUUAGCAUGGAAUAAUGAAAUAGGACGUUCGAUCCUAUUUUGUUGGUUUCUAGGAUUGACGUAAUGAUUAAUAGGGAUAGUUGGGGGCAUUAGUAUUCAAUUGUCAGAGGUGAGAUUCUUGGAUUUAUUGAAGACUAACUACUGCAAAGCAUUUGCCAAGGAUGUUUUCAUUAAUCAAGAACGAAAGUUAGGGAUCGAAGACGAUCAGAUACCGUCGUAGUCUUAACCAUAAACUAUAGCCGACUAGGGAUCGGAUGAUGUUAAUUUUUAUGUACUUNAUUCGGCGCCUUAC
rnacentral:rRNA from 1 species